GUUAGAGGCUACAGUGAGCUAUGAGUGUGUCACUGGAUUCCAGCCUGGGCAACAGAGGGAGACCCCAUCCUCUACACUAAAUAAUCCAGAGACAGUGGUUACGUCUGUUGGGGGAGGCAUGAUAGGCAGGGUGAUAUGAAAGAGGAGGAUAAAGGCAAAGGUAAGAGUAUUGGUAAUGUCCGGUUCUUAAAUGUGGUGGUGGGUUCACGGGUAUUAUCAUGUUUUAUAACUUAUAUAAGUGUUAAACAUUAAUACAUUAUGCAGCAAGUAUUGCUUAUUUUUUCUUUAAAAAUAACACAGCAGUUUAAUGUUUCUUGGCAAAUUGUAAUACACUUUGAGAUUUUAUAAAACUCCAUCUUUCUAGACAAAAAUGAGUGAAAAUGAGCAUUACCCUUAUUUUUUCCUUAUGCUUAUUGUACAGUUUCUUUGUUAAUAGAGAAAAUCAAUUAAGAAGUUCUUAAGACUUCAACUUUUAAUUUCUGGAAGACACUUAACCAUUUGUCACUAUAGUCUAUUUUCUAAUUUUGAAAAUACUAAUUUUAAACACCUUUGUAUUCUUAUAGACCUCUUAGAAUAAAGAGCAUAUAUUCUAGAUUUCUAGCUCAAAUUUCUCAAAUUUCAAAAGUCUGAAAUUUCAUUCAGACUUUAGAAAAUUACACAUUUCCUCUUCUUGCUUAAAAAAAAGUCCGAAAAGGUUCCCCAAGUGGACUUCAGUUAUAGAGACCAUUCUGCUUCCCUGUUUAAUAUAUACUAUUUAUGUUUAAAUUCAGUCAGAUUAUGCGUUUCAGGCCAAAAUUUGUAUAUCUGUGUCUUAAAUAUACUCGAUUUGUUUUCUAAUUACAAAACCAGUAUAUGUUUAUUAUGGAAAACUAUUUUAUUUUUCCAUACAUUUUAGUUAAGUUUUAGAAAGACAUGGGCUUUUGCUUUGUGUACUUAUGCUACUUCCCGUCAAAAAGGCAGUACUAAGUCACAAUCCUCUCAGCAGCAUGUGAGGGUCUGUUUCCCCAACAGCUGGAAUUGCCAUUUUUAGAUCCCUGAUAAUUUUUAUGAAUCAGAAAUUUUGUAACAUUUAUUUUUAGUAUGCACUUUCCUGAUUGGCCAAAAUUGUUCUUUUAAAAUGAUUCUCUAAGAUCUUUGGUCAUUUUUCUAUUGGGGUGUUAGCCCUUUGUUUUUUUGUUUGUUUGUUUUUUGACUUCUAUGUGUCCUUUGUGUAUAUUCAACCUGUUGUUAUAUAUGUAGCUGCAAUUUAUGUUGUUUGUCAUUUGUUUUUUUAUUUUCUUCUGCUGUUCUCUGAACUUGGUUUUAGUUUUUAUAUAUCCAAAUCCAUCUCUUUUUUCUUUAUGAUUUCAUCCUUUGCUCUUCUGCUUAAAAACACUAUCACACUACAACCAAUAAAUGCACCCUUAAAUUGCUUAGACUGUUUCUUGUAAAAAAAAAAAAUACAUAUCUGAAAUCUUUGUGUGAGUGUAAAAAAUUAGUCAAACAAAUUUUUAAAAUCAUGAAAAUUUAAAUUCAUUACAUCUUUCCUGAGAUUUCAGAAAAAUAUUCUACCUGUGCUAAUCUCAUUUAAAACUUACUUUCUAAUUUCAGAUUCUUUUUCCUUUGAAUGAAUGGGCUUUAAAAUACAGACUCAAUUGAUAUGGAAAAAAUAGACGCAAGCCUAACACUACCUCUAAUCUUCCUAGAUUCGAGAUCACUGUUUAUGGGGAAGAGGUCAGCAGGAACAAGGCCCAAGAAGUUAUUAACGAGAACCAUGGAAAGAGGAAACCCACUGGCACAAAGUAUAGCUCAUCCUCCAGAUUUUUCUUCUGUAUUUCUUCUAUUAUACACUUAGAUGACUUUCUUUACUCCUAUAAACAUGCUUUUUCUAAACUGAA